UACGAAGGGGGGCUAGCGUUGCUCGGAAUUACUGGGCGUAAAGCGCACGUAGGCGGGUCUUUAAGUCAGGGGUGAAAUCCUGGAGCUCAACUCCAGAACUGCCUUUGAUACUGAAGAUCUUGAGUUCGGGAGAGGUGAGUGGAACUGCGAGUGUAGAGGUGAAAUUCGUAGAUAUUCGCAAGAACACCAAUGGCGAAGGCAGCUCGCUGGAACGGUACUGACGCUGAGGCGCGAAAGCGUGGGGAGCGAACAGGA
rnacentral:rRNA from 1 species